GGAGCAACGCCGCGUGAGUGAUGAAGGUCUUCGGAUCGUAAAACUCUGUUAUUAGGGAAGAACAAAUGUGUAAGUAACUAUGCACGUCUUGACGGUACCUAAUCAGAAAGCCACGGCUAACUACGUGCCAGCAGCCGCGGUAAUACGUAGGUGGCAAGCGUUAUCCGGAAUUAUUGGGCGUAAAGCGCGCGUAGGCGGUU
rnacentral:rRNA from 1 species